rnacentral:rRNA from 1 species
UCAGUGAAACUGAUCUCUCCGUGAAGAAGCGGGGAUACUCCUAUAAGACGAAAAGACCCCAUGGAGCUUCAAACCCAACUACACCCUUAACUACCACAACCGCACAACCUCUUAGGGCCCUGUAUAGUUGGUUUUAGGUUGGGGCGACCACGGAGUACAACCAAACCUCCGCAAUGGACGGGACCACUCCCUUAUCUAAGAGCCACACCUCUAAGAAUUAAAACACUAACAUAAAAUGAUCCAUGAUCUGAUCAAUGAACCAAGUUACCCUGGGGAUAACAGCGCAAUCCAUUUCAAGAGCCCUUAUCGACAAGUGGG